rnacentral:rRNA from 5 species
AUUGCAGAACACAUUGAACAUCGACACCUUGAACGCAUAUGGCGGCCUCGGGUCCAUCCCGAGGCCACGCCCGUCUGAGGGUCGGCU